GAUGAACGCUGGCGGCAUGCCUAAUACAUGCAAGUCGAGCGAACAGACGAGGAGCUUGCUCCUCUGACGUUAGCGGCGGACGGGUGAGUGACACGUAGAUAACCUACCUAUAAGACUGGGAUAACUUCGGGAAACCGGAGCUAAUACCGGAUAAUAUAUUGAACCGCAUGGUUCAAUAGUGAAAGACGGUUUUGCUGUCACUUAUAGAUGGAUCCGCGCCGCAUUAGCUAGUUGGUAAGGUAACGGCUUACCAAGGCAACGAUGCGUAGCCGACCUGAGAGGGUGAUCGGCCACACUGGAACUGAGACACGGUCCAGACUCCUACGGGAGGCAGCAGUAGGGAAUCUUCCGCAAUGGGCGAAAGCUUGACCGAGCAACGCCGCGUGAGUGAUGAAGGUCUUCGGAUCGUAAAGCUCUUUUAUUAGGAAAGAACAACUGUGUAAGUAACUAUGCACGUCUUGACGGUACCUAAUCAGAAAGCCACGGCUAACUUCGUG
rnacentral:rRNA from 1 species